rnacentral:rRNA from 1 species
UACGAAGGGUGCAAGCGUUAAUCGGAAUUACUGGGCGUAAAGCGUGCGUAGGCGGCUUUCUAAGUCGGAUGUGAAAUCCCCGGGCUUAACCUGGGAAUGGCAUCCGAGACUGGUGAGCUGGAGUUUGGGAGAGGGUGGUGGAAUUCCCGGUGUAGCGGUGAAAUGCGUAGAGAUCGGGAGGAACAUCAGUGGCGAAGGCGGCCACCUGGCCUAAAACUGACGCUGAGGCACGAAAGCGUGGGGAGCAAAC